UACAGAGGUCUCAAGCGUUGCUCGGAUUCAUUGGGCGUAAAGGGUGCGUAGGUGGCGCCGUAAGUCAGGUGUGAAAUUUCGGAGCUUAACUCCGAAACUGCAUUUGAUACUGCGGUGCUUGAGGACUGGAGAGGAGACUGGAAUUUACGGUGUAGCAGUGAAAUGCGUAGAGAUCGGGAGGAACACCCGUGGCGAAGGCGGCCAUCUGGACCAGCACUGACGCUGAGGCACGAAAGCGUGGGGAGCAAACAGG
rnacentral:rRNA from 1 species